GCGAGAAAUCAAACUUCGAACAGGACAAGCCCGAAGCCCGCUUCUCCGGGAGACGGGGUGCCACAAUUGCAAGGAUGCUGAAAUGAGACCUUUUAUGUCAGAGACUACUCGGCCUCCACUCUAAAAUGACUUGGUUGAUGGAAGAACUGAUUCCCUGAGGAGGGGAAAGAUUCAGGGAAGAGCCUGUCCUGGGUAAUGAGAAGAACAUUGAAAAGAGCAUCACAUCAGAAUAUCGAGGUGGGCCUGGAAGUUGGUGGGAGUGUGGCCUGGAUGUGGAAGGCGGGACCUGUCUUUGGCUCACCUGCCUUCCCACAGCUCACCUGGAGCUGUGGCACCAGCAUUAGAGCCCGGUCAUGGAGUGUGGUGCCCUCAGACUGCUGUCACACCACCUCUGUGAUGGAGAACAAGUUCAGCAGCCUUCAGUAGACAUACAAGCUGGACAGCCAGGGCUUCUGGCCAACCAGACGCAGCAAGAUGGAAUUCCACUGCAAAGUGUACAGCAACUUAGUAUGUGGAGAUGAACAGCAGCAAGGUGUUUUUAAUGGCAUGCCCUAUGCCACCAUGCUCAGGGGAGAUGCUGCUGCUUGCCAGAAGCAUGGGGAUGGCAGGCCUGAGGCUCCACUUCACUGAACUCUACCAUCAUUAUAGAAGUUUUGGAGUAGCCUACGAAAGACAGAAUCAUGUCAUUGGUCAGAAGACAAAAUCCUGUACAGUGAGUAGUUCUCACUGUAGAUAUGUAGAUUUAUUACCCUAAAAACAAUGCUAAUUUGGCAUUGGUUCAUGUAGCACCUGCUAUGAACAAAUGCCUAAAAUUAGAAGCAGUUUCUCCUAAAGUAAGAUUACAUGAGGCCAGGCGUGG
rnacentral:lncRNA from 1 species